rnacentral:ncRNA from 2 species
CGCUUUAAAAGGCAAAGCCACCGAGAGGUGGUGACGCAAAACCUCCGGUCCAACUAGCUACCUUUGGGUAGUCAGCGGAUAGCGGGGCUGCAGGC